rnacentral:rRNA from 1 species
CGUGGUCGCUAGCCUUUACCGUGUAAAGCCCCUUCGACGAGUCGAGUUGUUUGGGAAUGCAGCUCUAAAUGGGAGGUAAAUUUCUUCUAAAGCUAAAUACUGGCCAGAGACCGAUAGCGCACAAGUAGAGUGAUCGAAAGAUGAAAAGCACUUUGGAAAGAGAGUUAAAAAGCACGUGAAAUUGUUGAAAGGGAAGCGCUUGCAGCCAGACUUGCCUGUAGUUGCUCAUCCGGGUUUCUACCCGGUGCACUCUUCUAUAGGCAGGCCAGCAUCAGUUUGGGCGGUUGGAUAAAGGUCUCUGUCAUGUACCUCCUUUCGGGGAGAACUUAUAGGGGAGACGACAUGCAACCAGCCCGGACUGAGGUCCGCGCAUCUGCUAGGAUGCUGGCGUAAUGGCUGUAAGCGGCCCGUCUUGAAACACGGACCAAGGAGUCUAACAUCUAUGCGAGUGUUUGGGUGUCAAGCCCGAACGCGUAAUGAAAGUGAACGGAGGUGGGAACCUUUCGGGGUGCACCAUCGACCGAUCCUGAUGUCUUCGGAUGGAUUUGAGUAAGAGCAUAGCUGUUGGGACCCGAAAGAUGGUGAACUAUGCUUGAAUAGGGUGAAGCCAGAGGAAACUCUGGUGGAGGCUCGCAGCGGUUCUGACGUGCAAAUCGAUCGUCAAAUUUGGGCAUAGGGGCGAAAGACUAAUCGAUCCAUCUC